rnacentral:rRNA from 1 species
ACGGGUGAGUAACGCGUGGGAACGUGCCUUUUGGUUCGGAACAACACAGGGAAACUUGUGCUAAUACCGGAUAAGCCCUUACGGGGAAAGAUUUAUCGCCAAAAGAUCGGCCCGCGUCUGAUUAGCUUGUUGGUGAGGUAACGGCUCACCAAGGCUACGAUCAGUAGCUGGUCUGAGAGGAUGAUCAGCCACACUGGGACUGAGACACGGCCCAGACUCCUACGGGAGGCAGCAGUGGGGAAUAUUGGACAAUGGGCGCAAGCCUGAUCCAGCCAUGCCGCGUGAGUGAUGAAGGCCCUAGGGUUGUAAAGCUCUUUCGGCGGGGAAGAUAAUGACGGUACCCGCAUAAGAAGCCCCGGCUAACUUCGUGCCAGCAGCCGCGGUAAUACGAAGGGGGCUAGCGUUGCUCGGAAUCACUGGGCGUAAAGGGUGCGUAGGCGGGUCUUUAAGUCAGAGGUGAAAUCCUGGAGCUCAACUCCAGAACUGCCUUUGAUACUGAGGAUCUUGAGUUCGGGAGAGGUGAGUGGAACUGCGAGUGUAGAGGUGAAAUUCGUAGA